rnacentral:lncRNA from 1 species
GUUUUACAGUACCAGAUUUUAAACUAAAAUAUAAAGCAUUUCUCCCUUAUUAACCAUCUCUUUAAUUAUUCAUUCUAGAAUUUCCCUAGGAAGUGAAUUCAGCCUUAUUGGCUCUAGUUUGCAGACUCUGUUCUCUUCCAUUUUUAUUUUUAACUUAUCACAGUGAAUAGAGCACUGAACCUGUAGUCAAGAAGACUUGAGUUCAAAUCAUUUCUCAGACACUAAUUAGCUCUCUUAACCUGGACAAGUACUUAACUUCUGUCUCAGUUUCCUCAACUAUAAAACUUCCCAGGGUUAUUUAGCUAUUAUUAUUAUUUGAAAGUCAAGAUUUUUCCCCUUCUCCAGUCCUUUUCCAAAGUCUUGAUUUUUCAAAGAUCAUAAGCAACAGCUCAGCUAUUAUAUCCAUCAGUUCAAUGGAUGUAGUUCGGCCAUGCCUGGUACCUUGAAAUCAUCAACUAAUCAAUAAAUCAAGAGUUUCCAUGGGCCUUAGGAAAGUGCUAAGUACUAAGGAUAGAGAUAUAAAAUGAGAUCUUUUUUUUCUAUUGUAAAAAUGGACUUGAAUCCAGGACUUCAAUCCCCAGAAGUCCUUGCUCCACUUCCCCAGAAUGCUUUGUAAUCUCAUUGAAUUCUCACCUGAGCCGAGAGCAAAAUCAUUAUUUAAAGGGUCUCUGCCCCGGCAGGCUCUCUUUUCUUCCUGGCUCCGCUGGCAAACAGACGCUUCUCAUGAUAUCCAGGCUCACUCACUAGGUUAAGUAUUCAGCUAUUCUCUAGCAUUCUUCUUGAGAGAGCUUCCACUGCUGGGCAAAAGCAAAAUCUCUUUAAAGAAAGAAAAAAGCAUCAUCUCUAAAGUGCCAAGGACAAAAUACAAAAGUUGAAACUGCAUAGCUUUGCCAAGCCAGAAAUCAGCAGUCUUUGGAAGUGAGGUAAGUGGGAAGGAAUCACAUUUCAUAGCUUCCCAUUCUUCUUUGGCUCAGACCCUUUUGUUAUAUCAGCUAAAUGAAAGGUAGCAUGAAUCAACCUCUCAAAAAAAAAAUAAAAAAACAAAAAAAAAGCUCCCUCUUUCCCA